GCUCUCUCUUUCGGCGGCGGCGAGGUGGAGCCUUCGCGAGCGCUGUGAGGAGGUGGUGGCCCUGGAAGGAAGAUGAACAGAAGAAAAAGGUUGAGCAUUCCUAAUCUGAAAAUCUGAAAUUUGAAAUGUUCCAAAACCUGAAACUUUUUGAGCACCAGCAUGAUGACACAAGUGGAAAAUUCCACAUUUGAUCUCAUGUGACAGUUUGCAAUUAAGACACAAGUACACAACACAGAGUUUAUUCAGUGUCUCUGAGGGAAAAAAGACCCGUCAAGUUCCCUUCAGCUGCAGCAUAUCUUUUCUGUAUAUGCCCAGAUUCUCCCACAGAAGCACACCCUCAAAGGAUAAUGAAAUGGCAUGUGUGAAGGCCCAGUGUCCCAAGGACAGGUUCCCCAAGAUACCCCACAGGAGGCCACCAUUUGUGUGCAUCACUCAGUGUGUUUUUUGCUUAUUCUCUGCUCUGUGAUAUAAAGAUUUUGCUGAAAAUGUCAAAAAGACCCACAGAUGUCCCUGUGGGUAAUAGUGAUAGGAAAAAGAGGAAACAUUUAUGUUUAUCUAUAGCACAGAAAGUCAAGCUGUUGGAAAAACUGGACAGUGGUAUAAGUGUGAAACGUCUUACUGAAGAGUAUGGUGUAGGAAUGACCACCAUAUAUGACCUGAAGAAACAGAAGGAUAAACUGUUAAAGUUUUAUGCUGAAAGUGAUGAACCAAAGUUAAUGAAAAAUAGGAAAACACUGCAUAAAGCUAAAAAUGAAGAUCUUGAUCGUGUAUUGAAAGAGUGGAUCCGUCAGCGUCGCAGUGAACACAUGCCACUAAAUGGUAUGCUAAUCAUGAAACAAGCAAAGAUCUAUCACAAUGAAUUGAAAAUUGAAGGGAACUGUGAAUAUUCAACAGGCUGGCUACAGAAAUUUAAGAAAAGACAUGGCAUUAAAUUUUUAAAGAUUUGUGGCAAUAGAGCAUCUGUUGAUCACAAAGCAGCAGAGAAAUUCACUAAAGAAGUGGAUAUUGAAAAAGUUUUUAACAAGAAUCAGGCUCCAGUUGUUCAUUCAUUGACCAGCGGUAAAAUAGCCAAAAUGGUUCUGAAUCAGACUGAUCAAGGUAAUAGUCAUGAUGAAGAUGAUGGUGUUAGCACUGCAGAAAAACUGCCUAUAGAUGACAUGGUGAAACUGUGUGAUGGACUUAUUGAAGGAUUAGAGCAGCGAGCAUUCAUAACAGAACAAGAAGUCAUGUCACUUUAUAAAAUCAAAGAGAGACUUCUAAAGACAAAAGCUGUUGCUAAUGCAGAAGAUGACACUGGAGGAAACGUUUUAAAAAGCCACUCAGCAUAAUGCUUCCUCAUCCCUAGAGGACCCACUUCCUGGUCCCUCAAUUGCCUCUGAUGUUUCUUCUCACCUAAUACAGUAAAAUAAAGUAGUGUACAGUAACCAUUUAAACACAACACCACAGGUGUUAAUUAGAAACUGCUGCUGUUUAACAGCUGAUACAGGAAUUCUGGAGAUGCUGCUCUGCUACCUGCUUACCCUGAACGCAUUCUUUUUCCUGUAUUAAUGGUAUGUAAUACUUUUUACUAACCACGUACAUGUGAGUAAGUGUGACAAAGUGAUUCCUUACUAGAAGUAUAUGAAUUCAGAAUCAACAAUGAUGGUGAUGCCAAACAACCACACAGAUUGUUCAGUGAGUGGUUGCAAUAAUGACACUUUUGCUUUUUUAAUGGGUCAGUGUACACAAAUUUUCAUGUACAAAAUUUAAAAAUUAGCUUCAGGCUACAUGAAUUGGGUAUAUGUGAAACAUUAAUGAAUUUUCUGUUUAGACUUGAGUCUUUUUUCCCUAGAUAUCUUAGUUUGUAUAUACAGAUAAAAUUGAAACACUUCUGGUCCCAAGCAUUUCAGAUAAGGAAUACUCAACUUUUAAUAAAAUUCUAUCCCUAGGGCCCGGGAUUUAGCUCAGUGAUUCCGCCGCCUGCUGUGCAGGCGCAAGGACCCGAGUUCAAUCCCUGGUACAAAAAAAAAAAAAAAAUCUAUCCCUAAAUUCCUACAAUAAAGUGUACAUGAUAAACUCUUCUCUGAGGACCUUUGUGUGCUGUAUAAUGUAUACUCUUUAUAUAAUGUGUACUCCUACCACUACCUUCUUUUUCUUCCUUUUGAACACCUUUGACCCAUUUUGUACAGGAUAUUUUUGUUAUAGUUAUAUGCAGCUAAUAAUAAAAAGAAAAUGUUCAUUUCUGGUUAGAAUAACUUUUACCUUUGUAUAUUGGCUUUAUUUCAGGCCUUAUACUUUCAGCUAAUGCCCCAGUAGUAAUAAACUAUUAGGCUGUGAUUCAGUCCUAACAACAUGAACAUUUGUUAACUCUUACCUAACAUUUCUUAUAGAUAUGGUCUCUUAACAGACUAAAAUGCAGCUUCCACUUUUAUUGCUUCAUUUUGUAUUUUCUCUUUCCCCACUGUCUUACUUAAACAAGAUUUUAACACAAGGAAAAACAUCACUUGACACCUGGCUUUGGUGCUUAUUGGCUGAGAUUUAUUGUUACUUAAAUUCUAAAUAUAUUUGUGUACACCAUCCAUCCUCUCAUCAUGGUUAACAUCAGCAGUUUUCACUAGGAAAAAAACAUAAUGAUAGUGGAAGAAGUAGAUUGCUGCUGUAAGGUAGGAGAAACAGAAAAGGCAUUUAACAUUAUUACCCCUGUGUUAUCUACAUUUUUGAAAGAUUGAGCCAUGUGAUAGUUAACUGUGGUGUCAAUUUGAAUAAGGAGUGUUUAUCUGAUUGGUUUAGCACAGUUCUGAGUGUGUCUGGAUGAUGGACUUACUGAAGAGGGAAGAACGCACCCUGAGUAUGGGUGGCACCAACCAAUAGACUUAGUGCCUGAAUGGAAUAAAAAGGGAAAGUCUCACUUCUGCUUCUUCAGAGAAUCUCCAGUCUUCACCAUCACCUUAGGAUGUCCAUCUCCAGGCUUCUAGAGCAUACUCUUCAGCCUUCCAGUGCACACCCUCCAGCUUAUUUGGUAUCACACAGGACUCUGCAGUGAGCUACAAGUCUUCAGCUUCUGACUGUAUCCUCCAGCUCUCCAGUGCAUAGACCGUCCUUUUGCAUUCUUCCACACCUGACUCCAGGUGACCAUUGUAAUAAAUCAUCAUUAGUCAAGAUGUCUUCAGCACCUGAGCCUCCAACAUUUAAAAAGGAGCUGCCCAAAGAAAAAGACUUUCAAAACCCAGGACUCAGAGGG